GAUGAAGAACGCAGCGAAAUGCGAUAAGUAAUGUGAAUCGCAGAAUUCAGUGAAUCAUCGAAUCUUUGAACGCACAUUGCGCCCGCCAGUAUUCUGGCGGGCAUGCCUGUUCGAGCGUCAUUUCAACCAUCAAGCCCCCGGCUUGUGUUGGGGACCUGCGGCUGCCGCAGGCCCUGAAAACCAGUGGCGGGCUCGCUAGUCACUCCGAGCGUAGUAAUACAUCUCGCUCAGGGCGUGCUGCGGGUUCCGGCCGUUAAAAAGCCUUAUUUACCCAAGGUUGACCUCGGAUCAGGUAGGAAGACCCGCUGAACUUAAGCAUAUCAAUAAGCGGAGGA
rnacentral:misc_RNA from 1 species